GAGGAACAAAUGCACUUGGAAAUGCAAGAUAAGAAAACUUGAGGUUCUCCAAUUGAAUCAUGAAGAACACUUUGAGAAUGAAUUGAUAUGAUGAUGAACCACCGAGAAAGACCUCCGUAUACAAAUGAACGAUGCAACGAUAUGAAGGUAGACAAGAAUAAGAUUAUGACCUUGCCAGGAUUUAAAUGAAGCUUCACAAAGAGAUUCUUGAGAAAACUUGGAACUCCAGAAAAGAAAA
rnacentral:lncRNA from 1 species